GUUAAGCUUGACGAGCCUAGCAUGUCCCUACAUGGCAUCGGAACACAUGAGACCGAAAGGUCAAGCAUGAAUCGUAUAGUUGAUAUGAUUAGCAUAGAGAUGCUUACCACUGAAACUAUCCUCAACUCACGUGAUGAUUGGACUUGAGCUAGUGAAAUUGGAUCAUGUACCACUCAAAUGAUUAGAGAGAUGUACUUUUUGAGUGGGAGUUUAGAAAGUAAUUUGAUUAGUUAAACUCUAAUUAUCUUGAAUAUAGUCUAAGU
rnacentral:lncRNA from 1 species